GUGAGGAAUUUUCCGCAAUGGGCGAAAGCCUGACGGAGCAAUGCCGCGUGAAGGAUGAAGGCCUAUGGGUUGUAAACUUCUUUUCUCAGAAAAGAAUUAUGACGGUAUCUGAGGAAUAAGCCCCGGCUAACUUCGUGUCAGCAGCCGCGGUAAUACGAAGGGGGCGAGCGUUAUUCGGAAUCACUGGGCGUAAAGCGUGCGUAGGCUGUUUUGUAAGUCAGAAGUGAAAGCCCAGGGCUUAACCCUGGAAUUGCUUUUGAAACUACAAGACUCGAAUUCGGGAGAGGAUAGCGGAAUUGUCAGUGUAGCAGUGAAAUGCGUAGAUAUUGACAGGAACACCAGUGGCGCAAGCGGCUAUCUGGACCGAUAUUGACGCUGAGGCACGAAAGCGUGGGGAGCAAACAGGAUUAGAAACCCUUGUAGUCC
rnacentral:rRNA from 1 species